GGGCUAUCGCUUUGGCGGAUGAGAUUUGCCCUGCUGGAACCACGGUAAUUGGACAAAGAUUACCUGGAUGGUGCCCGGAUACCAAUGGUGGUACCCCACUAAAAAUAAACAGGCCUGUCCACAACAUUCCGUCCCGUUCUGACGGGAUCCGUCCAGGACCAGGGCCCCCUUUCUUUCCCCCCUUUGUUUGAUUCCCCAGACGAUGCGGAC
rnacentral:lncRNA from 1 species